AGUGGGCAAAAUGGUAGCAGCUGGCAGCUUCUGCUUCAGAUAAAUAGAUCUCAGCAGUAACAACCUGAAUUUGCCUGUCUCUCCAGACUUCAGAUCUGCUUGUUUGCCCUGCAACCUCAGUUCUUUGAUGGAUCCAAGAAAAGGCCUUGAUUUUUGGCUUAAGAUUUUUCUUAUUGUAAGAAGAGAAGUGAUGACUUCUAAGCUGUUUACACUGAGGGCCUAAAACCAGAGAAGGCCUGCUAAGAUGGAAGCAGAAGAGAGCAAGCUAGCUCUCAGGGACUGGGGUGGAAAUGAGUGCUCUGCAAGAACUUCAGAGUGUUCAGCCUUCCAAAGUCUGUGAAUGCAUUCUAAGAGUGGCUGUGGCUUGGCUUCUUUUUUCUCUUAUAGAAUUUGACAAGCUGAUUCUAAAAUGUAUACAGAAAAAGCAAACGUCUAAGAACUUCCAUUCCUUUCAUCAUGGCACAAUGAUAAAAACCUUAGACCGGCAGGAAAGCCACGUGAAUUCAGACCAUUAAUGUGCCAGUUACUUCAACGAACUGAUGGCUCUCAACUUGCUCAUCUAUGAACUGGAUGAAUUGAAACAGAUGACCUUUAUACCUUUCCUCUCGAAUAUUCUUCAUAGCAUUUUGUAACUCAACCUUAUGUUGCAUGGCAAAAUGUAGCUUUAUUAUGUUUAAACAAUAACAUGAACAAAAAAAGUGAGUUGGAUACUAUUAUCCCUUUUGGUCUAUUUUAUUUUUAAUACAAUUUGAUCUGUUUUGACCUAAGGAAUAUGUAUGAUUUGGAAAUAAAAAUACAGUUGGGGAUAAGAUGAUUCUAAAGAUGCCAUGAUUUCCUGAAAUAAAAAUGAUUUUUUGUUGAGGUUUUGAGAAAUAAGGAAUAUUUCCUAAACUAUUUUUGGAAUAUCUAAUAGUAGAAACAAAAGCACCUUAAAAACUUCAAACCCUUCUUUAUUUAUUUACUACAUUAGAAUUCUACACUGCACCUAAAUUGAAGUGCACGCCGGAGCCUGAAAUCAGGUUUCGCUCCUGCUUUCUCAACAGAAUGGCAAUCCCUCGGGAGCGUUUUCCUCUCACUGAGCUACAUCUCAAUCAGCAGACAAUUCACCGAGGAGACUCAGUUUGAAUUCUUGCUUCAUCUAGUCACACUCAAUUGAACAUAGAGGCCUGUGAUCAUUAAAGGCCGCUGCUUUCUCCUGACA
rnacentral:lncRNA from 1 species